rnacentral:lncRNA from 1 species
CUGCAGGUCAGCAAGUCUGUGGAUCGUUCAUGCGAAAGGGCGUCUGUUCAGUUGCAUUCUGUGUUGAUUCCCCGAACAAAGAGAAGAAAGCUGAUUACAGAUAAAGUGAUCUGACGUAAGCAAAGGCAAAAAGCCUAUUUGAGAGAGCUUGUUCAUCAGUACUUCAUUUAUUUUACACAGCAACACCAUACUUCUGAACCUGGUGAGCUUGAGGGCAGCUCUCGUGUGGGGCCAGAAAAAUGAUGUCAUACAAAGGGACUGCGCAGUGGGGCCUUGCUAAUAAUCACCCUCAAUGCCUCCCCACGCAAGCCUCAUCGUUUAGCAGUCUGCACAUUCCUCCUCAUGAUCGCACACUGCACUGUCCUCUGAGAGGAGCCAGAAGUAAUUCCUCGAGACACAUUUCGUCCAGCAGUGCAGGCAAGCUUCUUACAUUCUUACUUAUGAUUGCUCUGCAUCGUCGUCUGAUUCUAUGACGACUCUGAGCUGUCUCCUGUGUCAAUGCCGCUGAUAACAGGAUGUGUCUUGCACAGCAGGCUCGCAAGGGCAGCCACCCUGCGCCAUCAGGCACAGCUUCAGAGAGAGUCCCUUCAAGUCAGACAGGCCCUUCGAGACCAGCAGAGGGGCGAACCGGCCCCAGGCCUCGUCCGCGAGCAGCAGCAACGGUGCCAGCCCAGACCACUUGUCCACCAGCCCGUCAAUCAGUCCCGAGCAGCGCACAGCGAGUGCAGCAGAUCAGAACGGCAAUGGCGUGGCCCCGCUGCAAAGAACACAGCCAGUGCGAGGCGUGGAGCCUCUAGACUCCAUCGAUGCCUUUGACCUCUGGCUGGAUGCAG